CCUACGGGUGGCAGCAGUGGGGAAUAUUGGGCAAUGGGCGCAAGCCUUACCCAGCAAUACCGCGUGAGUGAAGAAGGUCUUCGGGUUGUAAAGCUCUUUGGUCAGUGACGAACAGAUGGCCGGACCUGAAGAACAAGCCCCGGCUAAAUAAGGGCCAGCAGCCGCGGUAAAACGUAGGGGGAGAGCGUUUUCCGGGAUGAAUGGGCGUAAAGGGUGGGUUGGGGGGAUAAGCAGUUAGAAGGGAAAUACCAAGGGCUUAACCCGUGUGCUGCUUUUAAGACUGUUGAUCUUGAGUGCGGGAGAGGUUAAUGGAAUUCCUAGUGUAGCGGUGGAAUGCGUAGAUAUUAGGAGGAACACCAGAGGCGAAGGCGAUUAACUGGACCGUAACUGACGCUGAGGCACGAAAGUGUGGGUAGCAAACAGGAUUAGAUACCCUAGUAGUC
rnacentral:rRNA from 1 species